rnacentral:misc_RNA from 1 species
GUGGGGACUAGGUUCAGAAGAUGUCAUCUCCCCCAUAGACUAGCUUCCCAGAGAAUGUCACCUGCAAACUAGAAUGAUGCUAGUCUCAGCUUAACUGUGCAAAGAGAAAACCAGAACGCGCUCCCCAGGAACAAGGUUCAUUCACAGUUGUCAGAAGGUUAACAUUCAAGAUGGUACAUGCUGAAGCCUUUUCUCGUCCUUUGAGUCGGAAUGAAGUUGUUGGUUUAAUUUUCCGUUUGACAAUAUUUGGUGCAGUGACAUACUUUACUAUCAAAUGGAUGGUAGAUGCAAUUGAUCCAACCAGAAAGCAAAAAGUAGAAGCUCAGAAACAGGCAGAAAAACUAAUGAAGCAAAUUGGAGUGAAAAAUGUGAAGCUCUCAGAAUAUGAAAUGAGUAUUGCUGCUCAUCUUGUAGACCCUCUUAAUAUGCAUGUUACUUGGAGUGAUAUAGCAGGUUUAGAUGAUGUCAUUACGGAUCUGAAAGACACAGUCAUCUUACCUAUCAAAAAGAAACAUUUGUUUGAGAAUUCCAGGCUUCUGCAGCCUCCAAAAGGUGUUCUUCUCUAUGGGCCUCCAGGCUGUGGUAAAACGUUGAUUGCCAAGGCCACAGCCAAAGAAGCAGGCUGUCGAUUUAUUAACCUUCAGCCUUCGACACUGACCGAUAAGUGGUAU